CACACACACACACACACACAGUCAGACACAUACACGGACACAAACAGUCAGACACAAACACACACACACAGUCAGACACAUACACAGACACAAACACACACACACUCACUCACAAACACACACACACAUUAACUUUUUUUUAAUUUAAAUCCCCCCCCCCAACCUCCUUACCUUUGGGAGUGCUGGGGGGGGUCUCUCUCCCUGGUGGUCCAGUGGCUGCAGG